UCCUAAUGAUGAGACCAAGGCGAAUGUGACCCAUACUGGCUAAGAUUGUACUUGACUGUGACCCCUUCAUGUAAAGGCCUGAAAUCUUGGCAGGUAUAGCGAAAAAUUGCUUAUUUGCUGUAAGGGCAGGCCAACAGUAACUAAUGCUUCCAUAAAUGGUGGUUUGUUUGAAGUAAAGCAUCCCACAACAUUUCACAAAGGAAGCUGAUAUCUAUGAGCGUUAAUUGUCCUGGGGCUACACUUAUGUUUCUACAUCUCAAUAGUCCAGUCUGGAGUGAGCACAUCUCUUGUAAUCUGAGGGUU
ensembl:snoRNA